AGUGAACGCUGGCGGUAGGCCUAACACAUGCAAGUCGAACGGCAGCACAGUAAGAGUUUGCUAUUACGGGUGGCGAGUGGCGGACGGGUGAGGAAUACAUCGGCAUCUACUUUUUCGUGGGGGAUAACGUAGGGAAACUUAUGCUAAUACCGCAUACGACCUACCGUUGAAAGCAGGGGAUCUUCGGACCUUGUGAGAACGAAUGAGCCGAUGUCGGACUAGCUAGUCGGCUGGGUAAAGGCCCACCAAGGCAACGAUCCGUAGCCGGUCGGAGAGGAUGAUCCGCCACACUGGAACUGAGACACGGUCCAGACUCCUACGGGAGGCAGCAGUAGGGAAUAUUGGGCAAUGGGCGCAAGCCUGAUCCAGCCAUACCGCGUGGGUGAAGAAGGCCUUCGGGUUGUAAAGCCCUUUUAUUGGGGAAGAAAAGCAGCAGGUUUAUCCCCCGUUGUUCUGACGGUACCCAAAGAAUAAGCACCGGCUAACUACGUG
rnacentral:rRNA from 1 species